rnacentral:lncRNA from 1 species
CUCUUGGAUUUUUUAUUCUCAUUCCGAAUUCGGGUUUUAGGGCCCCGAAUUCUUCCACGAGUGACCUCAAAGCAGAACCGAAGUCCGGAGAGGCAAGUGGGCCAAUAACAGACUUAAAGAAUGGGGACCCUCCACCACUUUCCAGCUCCUGGCCAAUCCCGGGGAUCCUUCCUCUGUCUUUGCCAAUGCGAGCAAUGCCUUCUGUGCCCUCUUCUCCUCGCCUCUUCCAGGCCUUCUGGGAACCAUGGCUGCUCCUUAGGACCCCAAGUACCUAAGCCUCCAGUGAGGAGAGUCUUUGUAUAGCAGUUGCCUCCUUCCGGCAGCCCUCGCGGGGUCUCCAAGCCAGCCCCUUCCACCAGAGCCACUCUCUAAAAGGCCUGCUCUUCUCUAUGAUGCGGGCUCCGAGCGCCACCUAGUGGCAUUUGUAGAGACGCACAACAGCAGCGUACGCCCUCCCGGCACCUCUUCGUCCCCUACCUCUCCUGGAAACCCCACGCCGACCACCGUCACACCACAAGCCCUUACGUUAGCACGCUUCACCUCCACUUCCUGGCACUAAACCGUUAGGAGGAGGCCACGGCAAGGAAAAUCAGGGCUAUGCCUGGGGAGCCCCCUGGAAAGCCGCAGAUGCUGGGGACGAUGCUCUCUCGAGAGAUUGUGUACAGGAUGGGGCUGAGAAAGGGACCACCUCAGGUCUCCGUUGCGGGGGCGGAAGAAGAAAAGAAAGCCCUUCUUGUGGCACCGCAAGCGGCCACUCCUUUGGGUGAGGUAACAUCCGGCUCUCCGGCUUUGUGCAGCUCACAGGGUGGUCCUAGGACUCACAGUGUCGUUGGCAUCACCGGGGAGCCAGUUAGAAUGGCAGAGACUCAGGCCCUACCCAGAUCUGCUGAAUCAGAAUCUGCAUUUUAACUAGAUUUCACCAACUAAUGCAUGUGCACAGUGGACCUGCGCAAGUUCAGCCUCAGAUUUGUCUGUGCCAGCUCCAGGUAAGGGAAAACCGUGGCCGACCUCAUCUGCAGGAAGCCGCUUCCCCAGGGAUGCUGGCUCACUGGUCCCUGUUCCGUUCUCAAACGCAGCCUCUUGGGUUCCAUGUCCAAUUCAGACCUUUUCUCUUUCAAACCUUUCCUCCCC